UUAAAUUGAAGAGUUUGAUCAUGGCUCAGAUUGAACGCUGGCGGCAGGCCUAACACAUGCAAGUCGAGCGGUAGCACAGAGAGCUUGCUCUCGGGUGACGAGCGGCGGACGGGUGAGUAAUGUCUGGGAAACUGCCUGAUGGAGGGGGAUAACUACUGGAAACGGUAGCUAAUACCGCAUAAUGUCGCAAGACCAAAGUGGGGGACCUUCGGGCCUCAUGCCAUCAGAUGUGCCCAGAUGGGAUUAGCUAGUAGGUGGGGUAACGGCUCACCUAGGCGACGAUCCCUAGCUGGUCUGAGAGGAUGACCAGCCACACUGGAACUGAGACACGGUCCAGACUCCUACGGGAGGCAGCAGUGGGGAAUAUUGCACAAUGGGCGCAAGCCUGAUGCAGCCAUGCCGCGUGUGUGAAGAAGGCCUCGGGUUGUAAAGCACUUUCAGCGGGGAGGAAGGCGGUGAGGUUAAUAACCUCACCGAUUGACGUUACCCGCAGAAGAAGCACCGGCUAACUCCGUGCCAGCAGCCGCGGUAAUACGGAGGGUGCAAGCGUUAAUCGGAAUUACUGGGCGUAAAGCGCACGCAGGCGGUCUGUCAAGUCGGAUGUGAAAUCCCCGGGCUCAACCUGGGAACUGCAUUCGAAACUGGCAGGCUAGAGUCUUGUAGAGGGGGGUAGAAUUCCAGGUGUAGCGGUGAAAUGCGUAGAGAUCUGGAGGAAUACCGGUGGCGAAGGCGGCCCCCUGGACAAAGACUGACGCUCAGGUGCGAAAGCGUGGGGAGCAAACAGGAUUAGAUACCCUGGUAGUCCACGCCGUAAACGAUGUCGAUUUGGAGGUUGUGCCCUUGAGGCGUGGCUUCCGGAGCUAACGCGUUAAAUCGACCGCCUGGGGAGUACGGCCGCAAGGUUAAAACUCAAAUGAAUUGACGGGGGCCCGCACAAGCGGUGGAGCAUGUGGUUUAAUUCGAUGCAACGCGAAGAACCUUACCUGGUCUUGACAUCCACAGAACUUUCCAGAGAUGGAUUGGUGCCUUCGGGAACUGUGAGACAGGUGCUGCAUGGCUGUCGUCAGCUCGUGUUGUGAAAUGUUGGGUUAAGUCCCGCAACGAGCGCAACCCUUAUCCUUUGUUGCCAGCGGUCCGGCCGGGAACUCAAAGGAGACUGCCAGUGAUAAACUGGAGGAAGGUGGGGAUGACGUCAAGUCAUCAUGGCCCUUACGACCAGGGCUACACACGUGCUACAAUGGCAUAUACAAAGAGAAGCGACCUCGCGAGAGCAAGCGGACCUCAUAAAGUAUGUCGUAGUCCGGAUUGGAGUCUGCAACUCGACUCCAUGAAGUCGGAAUCGCUAGUAAUCGUAGAUCAGAAUGCUACGGUGAAUACGUUCCCGGGCCUUGUACACACCGCCCGUCACACCAUGGGAGUGGGUUGCAAAAGAAGUAGGUAGCUUAACCUUCGGGAGGGCGCUUACCACUUUGUGAUUCAUGACUGGGGUGAAGUCGUAACAAGGUAACCG
rnacentral:rRNA from 1 species